rnacentral:miRNA from 1 species
UAACUAAAUCUGGCCUGUAGCGGA